rnacentral:rRNA from 1 species
UACGUAGGGGGCUAGCGUUGUCCGGAUUUAUUGGGCGUAAAGCGCGUGUAGGCGGCCAGGUAGGUCUGCUGUGAAAACUCGAGGCUCAACCUCGAGACGUCGGUUGAAACCGUUUGGCUAGAGUCCGGAAGAGGAGAGUGGAAUUCCCGGUGUAGCGGUGAAAUGCGCAGAUAUCGGGAAGAACACCCGUGGCGAAGGCGGCUCUCUGGGACGGUACUGACGCUGAGACGCGAAAGCGUGGGGAGCGAACGAGG